rnacentral:rRNA from 1 species
AAACAUGUCCUUUUGUUAUUUAUUUAAGGUCUAGCCUGCCCAAUGAUUUAUUUAAUGGCCGCGGUAUUUUAACUGUGCUAAGGUAGCAUAAUCAUUUGUCUUUUAAUUGAGGGCUGGAAUGAAGGGUUGGACGAGAUAUUAACUUUCUUUAAUUUAAUUAUUGAAUUUAAUUUUUAAGUGAAAAAGCUUAAAUUUAUUUAUUGGACGAGAAGACCCUAUAGAUCUUGACAUUUCAUUUGUUUAUAAUGUUUAGAAUUAUUAAUUUAUUAUGAAUGAAUAAGUGUUUAAUUGGGGUGAUUGCGAAAUUAUUAUAACUUUUGUUUAUUGUUUCAUUGGUUGGUGUUUUGUUGAUCCAUUUUUAUUGAUUAUAAGAUUAAGUUACCUUAGGGAUAACAGCGUAAUUUAUUCGGAGAGUUCAUAUUGAUGAUUAAGUUUGCGACCUCGAUGUUGGAUUAAAAUUAGUCUUGGGUGCAGAAUUUUAUAGACUGGGUCUGUUCGACCUUUAAAAUUUUACAUGAUCUGAGUUCAAAACCGGAGA